rnacentral:lncRNA from 1 species
CCUCCUCCUCCUCCUCCUCCUCUUCUUCUUCUUCCUCCUCCUCCUCUUCUUCUUCUUCUUCUUCUUCUUACUCUUAUUUCUAUUUCUACUUUUCUUUAUCCUCUUCUUCUACUUAUUCUUCUUUUCUUCUUUUUUCUCUUCUUCUCCUUCUUAUUUUUUUCUUCUUAUCUUCUUAUAUUAGGCAUUAUUAUGUCAUUCAGGAGAGAACUUAGCUAAGUAUAGGUCAUUUUUAAUUAAAUAGGCCAUUUUGGAGCUAACUAAGCUAAUUAUGUCAUUU